rnacentral:rRNA from 1 species
GACGAACGCUGGCGGCGUGCUUAACACAUGCAAGUCGAACGGAAAGGCCCUGCUUUUGUGGGGUGCUCGAGUGGCGAACGGGUGAGUAACACGUGAGUAACCUGCCCUUGACUUUGGGAUAACUUCAGGAAACUGGUGCUAAUACCGGAUAGGAGCUCCUGCUGCAUGGUGGGGGUUGGAAAGUUUCGGCGGUUGGGGAUGGACUCGCGGCUUAUCAGCUUGUUGGUGGGGUAGUGGCUUACCAAGGCUUUGACGGGUAGCCGGCCUGAGAGGGUGACCGGCCACAUUGGGACUGAGGUACGGCCCAGACUCCUACGGGAGGCAGAAGUGGGGAAUAUUGCACAAUGGGCGGGAGCCUGAUGCAGCAGCGCCGCGUGCGGGAUGACGGCCUGCGGGUUGUAAACCGCUUUCGCCUGUGACGAAGCGUGAGUGACGGUAAUGGGUAAAGAAGCACCGGCUAACUACGUG